UACGUAGGGUGCGAGCGUUAAUCGGAAUUACUGGGCGUAAAGCGUGCGCAGGCGGCGCCGCAAGUCGAGUGUGAAAUCCCCGAGCUUAACUUGGGAAUUGCGCUCGAAACUACGGUGCUGGAGUGUGGCAGAGGGAGGUGGAAUUCCACGUGUAGCGGUGAAAUGCGUAGAUAUGUGGAGGAAUACCGAUGGCGAAGGCAGCCCCCUGGGAUAACACUGACGCUCAUGCACGAAAGCGUGGGGAGCAAACAGG
rnacentral:rRNA from 1 species